rnacentral:rRNA from 1 species
AUGGCUGCAGUAUAUUAACUGUACAAAGGUAGCAUAAUAAUUUGUUUUUUAAUUAAAAACUAGAAUGAAAGAUUAAAUGAAGUAUAAACUUUUUUAAUUAAAUAAACAUUNAAUUUAUUAUUUAAGUAAAAAAACUUAAAUAAUUAUUAAAGACGAUAAGACCCUNUANAAUUUUAUUUAUUUAUUUUUUNNNNNAAAUUAAAUAAAUUUAAUUGGGGAAAUAAAAAAAUUUAAAUAACUUUUUUUAUACAUAAUAUUAUAAAUAAAUUUAUUAUCUUAAAAUUUAAAUUAAAAAAAUUAAUUACCUUAGGGAUAACAGCAUAAUUUUUUUUAAAAGANCUUAUUAAUAAAAAAGCUUAU